AUAACAUUGAUUUUUGGCCUG
rnacentral:siRNA from 1 species